rnacentral:tRNA from 1 species
GGGAAUGUAGCUCAGUGGUAGAGUGUGUGUUUAGCAAGCACGAAGUCCUGGGUUCAAUCCCCAGGGCCUCCA